GGAAGAGGAGCCAGGAAAGGUGUUGUUCAAGCCAAAGGUUCAUGAUGUUGACUCUAAUGAUACCAGGUAUGUGCUCCUAGAUGAUCCAGCUGACUGGGUGGCCAUUGAUAAAAAAACAGGAGAAAUCACAUCAACUAAGAAGAUGGACAGAGAGUCAAGAAUGUUUACAAAGUCCUCAUAGCUGCCAUAGAUGACGGUAAACCUCCAGCCACAAGCACAUACACUGUCAAGAUCCACCUGGCGGACAUCAAUGACAAUACUCCUGAGCUGGUCAACAACAGCGCUGUCAUAUGUGGAAACAAGGUUAACAAGGUCAAGGUGCGUGCAAAGGACCUAGAUGCCGAUCCUUAUAGUGGACCCUUCUACUUCUCUCUGGGGGAUAAUGAAACUCUAAAGCAACAAUGGAAAAUAGAACCUGAAUGUGGUUGGUACAUUUACAUAUAUGUAAACCAUCAUUAUAAUAUAUAAUAAACAAAAAUUUCAAGCAAAAAACCACAAACCCUGACUCUAUCUUCUCUCCCCACACAGGUGUGGAUGCUUUUCUUAUUAGCCUGAAGACACUUCCUUAUCUUAACUAUUCAAUUCCCCUGGUGAUUAUGGACCAACAGAACAAAGCUGGACAUGAUACUCUGGAAUUCAUGGUGUGUGAAUGUGAAGAAAAUGAUGUUUGCAAAGAGCCACCUUCAAUAAGUUUUGGACCAGCUGACAUUGGAGCACUUACUGCAAGAUUGCUUAUAU